rnacentral:rRNA from 1 species
AACGAACGCUGGCGGCAUGCCUAACACAUGCAAGUCGAACGAGACCUUCGGGUCUAGUGGCGCACGGGUGCGUAACGCGUGGGAACCUGCCCUUAGGUUCGGAAUAACUCCCCGAAAGGGGUGCUAAUACCGGAUAAUGUCUUCGGACCAAAGAUUUAUCGCCUUUGGAUGGGCCCGCGUUGGAUUAGCUAGUUGGUAGGGUAAAAGCCUACCAAGGCGACGAUCCAUAGCUGGUCUGAGAGGAUGAUCAGCCACACUGGGACUGAGACACGGCCCAGACUCGUACGGGAGGCAGCAGUGGGGAAUAUUGGACAAUGGGCGAAAGCCUGAUCCAGCAAUGCCGCGUGAGUGAUGAAGGCCUUAGGGUUGUAAAGCUCUUUUACCCGGGAUGAUAAUGACAGUACCGGGAGAAUAAGCACCGGCUAACUCCGUG